GACCCCUGCUGCAUUGAACUCUGAGUGCCCCUAUCCCUGGGAUGGUGGCCAGCAUCCCAGCUGCAAAGCUGUGGUUAGAACACUGCAGCAACAGUCAGAGAGCAAGACGAGAUCAAGAUGGAAACCGCACCCUUGCGGUUAGCAGGUGCUGAAGCAAGGGUGAAGGCCAUCUAAGAUGAAGCAGCAGCCAGGUGUGAGAGGCAAGUGCCUGGUGUUACAGUCAUGGCUCAACUCCAGCAGCUUGUGCCUGGUGAGACUGGGUUCUGUGGCCUGCUUUCCAGGGCUUCCGUGUAGUCUGGAAUCAGCUAAUGAGAACUGAGAUGAGCAGGAUUAUUUGCGUACAGAGUACAGCCAGCAAAAGACCCACCUGGAUUUUCCCAGCUUGGAUGAGUUGCUUUGUGACAGCCGUGUUUCUCUCCUGUGCACUUUGCUCGCCUAAGUUCCUACACAAACACUCCCCUCUUUCUUCACAGCUCUCAACAGGUAAGAACUCUGCUCUACUGCAGGCCCCCCACACACUGUCACUCAGUGGCUAUACCCUGCAAACAGUUUAUCAUUCUUGCCAUUUCUGUGAUGCUUAAGUGGGCUCUUCCUUCUGAGACCUUCAGACUGCAGCACACAUCACUGUGUGGUUUAAAACUACUAGAUCGGGAGACUGAAUUCUAGACCCAGUUAAGGGCUUUUCUGGGCAGUGUUUUCUUAGGUGCACAAUAAAGAAGGGAUUUGAAGUCUCCGGAUCUAGACAGGUAGGUGUUUUAUACACUGUAAAUUGACAUCUGGGAAGUUCAGAGCCUCGUAGCUCAUCUACCAUCACUGAUCUGGACUUGCAUGAGGGCCUCCACCCUUUGGUUGGGGAUAAUGUAUUCAGGCUGAUCCAAUUAUAGGCCAAAAUGUUCAGUCUUUUGCCUUUCUCAGUUCAGUCUUAGAGUCUCACUAGGUCAGUCAGGCUGGCCUGGGAUGGCAGCUUCUCUCCAGGAUGGCCUGUGUGUCUGGAGCAGGGCACUGACUUUUGUUAUCCGAUGUCAUGAUUGAAGAACGGAGGUAGUUUCCUUAGACUUGCUAUGCCCUCUGCCUCCUGCCUCUCUUAGGCCCCAUCUCUUCCUUGUUCUUUUCAUAAGGCCUGGACACACAGGCUCAGAGAAGAGAUAUUGAAGGCAUAGGAGGAUUAUGUGGUCUCUGCUUAAAUCAAUGACUGCAGCUCCAGAACAGUUGUCCACAAUUUGGAAAGGACGGGGUGUUUACAGAAAGGGGUCAGAGCACAGGCUAUGUUUUAUCUAUCUCUAGAGGCUUCUUGGCUGAUAUAGUGCGUGCACACGGGGGGAGGGGGAGAAGGGGGAGCAUGUGUGUGUGUGUGUGUGUGUGUGUGUGACUGUCUGUCUGCCUAUGUCUGUGAGUCUGCUUACCAUUACCACACAGGGUUCUAAUGGCACCAGCUAGCUCCUUGGUCCAAGGGGUCCAUUCAAAUCCUGUGCUGUGAGGUCACCUCUAGAACUCCAGGGUGAGUUCUCAUGGGCCCCACCUCAGAGUUAGGUCACAGGGUAGCAAAAGCAGGCUCCGUGUUGUUCUGUGCACCUUGUUACAGUCUCAGAGUGUGUGGGGCUUUGUUCCCUAGAAUAGUAGCCAUUACUGUCUGAAUCGAAGCAGCUGCGACUGCCCACAGUCAGCCCUCAAGAUCCAAUCUGCUGAGAUGUCCUCUUAGGAGAGGCUGGAGAGUGUGGUUUGACACUCAGCUGAGCAUCCAGGCACUCUGUCCUGCCCCUCCCCACCAUCCAGUUGCAUGUAAUUGUGUCCUGGCUGCAUGUGGUGUUGGGAGGUUACGUUAGGAGGGAGAGUGACAAAGCCAUCUAUUGCAGCUAUGGAGAAGGCCUUAUCUAAAGUGGACUUUUUUUUUUUUUUUGGUGAUUCAGUUGUUUGGGGGUCAGUAGGCCUCCAAUAAGUACACUGGUUCAUGACACUACAUGUGGAUUGAGUGUUUAGUUUGUCGUUGGUACCUUAUGUAGGGUAAAUGCAUUCAUUACAUCUAUCUAGGACACAUUUGUGCAACACUUGGUGCCCUGAUAGGGAUGAGGCAGAGCCACAUGUUGCUUGGAAAGAGCAGUUACAUUGUUCCUGCCCUGGGAGAUAGGACAUGCCACUACAGAUAACUCUCUUUCGGGGGAGCGUCCAUAGAGAGGAUCCUGGCACAAGCAUCCUCCGUGUAGUGUGGAAUGGAAUGCCUCCUGCUGUAGUGCCAGUUGAUCCCUGACCCCACUGAGUAAUAUGACACGAAACAAGACUGAGCUGUAUUCCCAGAGGGGAGUGAAAGUGGAAAGUUUGGGGGUACGGUGGGGGAGUCUCGGUGGGGUUCUCUUCCUCUAUAACCUAUGAAUCCUUGAUGAAUGUGGCUUAACAUCCUGAGAAUGACCAAUGGACCAGAGAGGACAUUGCAGAUUCUGAACAUGGUGUGUAUGGAGCAGGGUUCCCAGAAAGCUCAGGCGGACAUUACAACCGCAGCUGCUGUGCAAUAAGACAUCAACUGAGACAGAGCUGUCUGCCUAGAAAGAGCUUGCUGGUAUAAAGCACAGAAAGAGGCAUGAGGCCACCCCCCACUCUCGCCUCUGCACUGAGAGGGAAAUGGAGAUGUUGGCUUGCCAUUUCUCUUCUCUCUUUCUUUUUAAUUACUGAUUUUUAUAAGUGUUUUACCUGCAUGCAUGUCUAUGCGCUACAUGUAUGUCUAGUGCCAAGGGAAGCCAGAAGAGGGUGUCAGAUCCCCUGGGAUUUGAGUUGCAAACAUCUAUAAGCUGCCAUGUGGGUGCUGGGAAUUGAACCCCGGUCCUCUAGAAGAGAAGCCAGUGCUCUUAACCUCUGAGCCAUCUCUCCAUCCCCAGCUUGGUAUUUCUUAGUGCCGAGGUGACAGGGGGGAAAAAAACCAUGCUAUACUUCUGUUGUAACACCUCAGGUGACCCCCAAACCUGGAGCCCACUGGAAGAAUCUAACAAAGGGGAGGGGAAAUGCAGUAGAAGAGAUAGUGAGGGAAGCAAGCAUGGAGAGAGAUGUGUGCUGUCCGUUCACGGAGCCAGCCAGCACUGGAGACCAGCAAGGGAGUCAGUGCAGCAAGGGAGUCAGUGCAGCAAGGGAGUCAGUGCAGCAAGGGAGUCAGUGCAGCAAGGGAGUCAGUGCAGCAAGGGAGUCAGUGCAGCAAGGGAGUCAGUGCAGCGAGGGAGUCAGUGCAGCAAGGGAGUCAGUGCAGCAAGGGCCUUAGGAUUGGGAUGCAGCUUGUAAGGUUUACUGAGCCUUAUGGUUGAACGUGAUUUCAAUAGAGAAGAGAGGCCUGGGGGAUCUGAAUAGCUUUGACAUGCGGAUCCAGGUUAUAAAGUGUUAAAGCAACCAAGAAUGGAUAAGACCAAGAAAAGACAGUGAAGGGUACUCCCGGGGUCACCGAAAAGCACACAUGGCAGGAUCUGUGUUGAGCUGGAGAGCCUGGGGGGAAACCGGCAAACUGACAUUGACUGGUGAUCUUUGGAAGGCUUUAAAACCCACAGCAGGCAAACAAGAGAGGUACACACCCCUCUCUAUGCCAGCAAAGAGAUCUUGUGGGCUGGGGACCGCAGCAGUAGCGUCCCUAACUGGUGGGUAGUGAGGGCACAGACAAAAGUCUCCCACAGAUGAAGACCAUGUAGAGCGACCAGAGCCCUAUGUUGAAUUGAGGAUGCCUUGGGUCUCUACUUAUGUGUAUGCCAUUGGCGCCAUGUGGCUGCCAGAGCCAGGUGUGCCUUGGUUCUGGUGGCUCUCCAGGGCAUCUUCAUCAGUAACCAUCAGCUGGUGUAGGUAGACAGGAUUAAGCUGGACUUAGGGAUAGGUAACCCCUCCCCACGCCCCCAUUCCUAAGUAUGUGGUACAAGUGUCUUCCUUGGGUGUCAAGACUGUUUGCCCAUCCAGGAUUCGCUUCCGGCAGCCAGGUAUGGCUGAAGAGGAGGCACAAUUGGCAUCUCUGGUCCAGAGACCACAGUGUGCUGUGUAGUGUGAGCCUUUUCUGUACCUAUCCUGAGUAAAUUACUUCCCCAGGAAAAGAGCAGGUGGGAAGAGAAGGGGGCGGGGGAGAGACCUCUACAACCCACUGAUAAUUUCCUUCUUACACUGUCUUGGUGUGAGAAAGGUUUUUCCCUCCUGAAGCUUCUCUCUCUACCACAUUCUUCCUUAGCAAAGAGCAACAUGCUUCUUGGUGUAGCUCUGGAGUAAGCAUGAACACAUGUGCAUAUGUAUGUGUGCAUACGUAUAUGUGUGCACAUGUGUGAGAGAGAACAGAAUGAGAGAGUCUUCUUUGUUACACGAGAGCUUUGUGUUGUUUCCUUCAGACUGAAUUAUUAACAUGCUCAAAGGGAAGUAAGAAUUCUAAAAUUCUGUUGUGAUUAAAAAAAAAGUUCCAUUUGGGGACUGACAUCUUUCUGCAAGACAGCAUUCUGAGUAUCAAACGUUCUAUGUAUCAACUCCUCUUUCUGCUCAUGUUUGUAACUAACCACAGUCCUCCCGACACACGGGAGAGCUUAUGCAAAUGAGCCCAGAAGGAAGUCUGUACUCACAAAGGGAAUGAAGUAAACACAUUAACUUUUUUUUCUCAAUACCACCUGUGUUGUAAUGAAAGGAAAAGGCAAAAUGAGGUGCAGCACAAAAUAACCAGGAGAAACCAGCCCUGCUCUGAAGCAGUUAUGCUCUGAAAUGCUCGUCAAGUGCCUCAAAAACAGAGAUUCAAAUUUAGAUUUGAAUUUUUUUUAUGGGUUAAUUUGAGGAAAACUGGCAUCUUCAGACAGUGAGUCGUCCACCCACUCGCACAUAUGCUGGCUGCACAUACGGAGUCAGGUGCUCGUAAUGGCCUCUAAAGGUUUUAGUUCUUGGGGUUAGAAUCGACAGCAGGGACAGAGAGGGAUGGUCUUGCUGCUGACCCCAGCAUGCACAUAGGGUGGCUCACAGCUGCCCUCAACCUCAACUCUUCUGGCCCCUGCACACAUACACACACACACACACACACACACACACACACACACACACACAUGUGCACAUGCACACACCCACACAUCUUACAAAGGAGCUAGUUCUUUCUUCACUUAGAUCUUCUGUAUGCUUCGUUAUCUCACUGUUCCAUAUAUUUAGCAGCUGAUUCACUCAUGGAUGGUAUUAUUUUUGAUGUCAUAUUUUCUCCUUAAUUAUUUCUGCUAUAAUUGAUACACUUUUGGGUUUUAUGAAUUGAUGUUGCAUUUGGCAGAUCUCUAAACAUCUGGAUUGAUUUUUAGAAUUCUGGCAGGUUGAUGAUCCUCCAGCUUGUCCAUUCUGUAUUGUAACCCAGGAUAUUUGAGCAGACUGCUUCUUUUUUGACUCCUUGAGUCCCCUUUCAUGUGGUGGGAAUUGGUAUUUCUAGAAAGUUUGGUGGAACUUGUCUAAUUCUGGAGCUAGAGGCGUGGUUUUGUUUUGUUUUGUUUAAAUGGAAGAGUGAAUCAUGUUUUCAAUUUCAUUGAAUCCAUUUUUAUUGUAUAUUUGCUCUUGUAUCAAUUUUGGUCCUAAGCCGGGCAUGGUGGUGCACGCCUUUAAUCCCAGCACUUGAGAGGCAGAGGUAGGCAGAUUUCUGAGUUUGAUGCCAGCCUGGUCUAGAAAGUGAGUUCCAGGACAGCCAGGGCUAUACAGAGAAACCCUGUCUCAAAAAACCAAACAAACAAACAAACAAAAAUUUUGGCCCUACAUACUUUCUAACAUAUUGCUUUUGCCUAUAUUUUACUACACUAGUGUGUUUAUAUUUCUAUAUAAAACCUCACAUCUAUAAUUUUUCUGUAUCUUAUUUGCAAUGUCUUGUACAUGUGGCAUACAUACAUGAAGUCACAUGUCAUAGCAUGCAUAUGGGCUCUUCCACAUGGGUCGGGACUCAGGUUUUAGGUUUGUUAAGCAUCUUUAUCUGCUGAGUCUCACAAGCCUUUGCAAUGUCUUUUUUCUUUUCUUUUCUUUUCUUUUUUUUUUUUUUUUUUUUGCUAGAAAUGUGUUUGGCGGCUUUUUAAAAAAAGAUUUAUUUAUUUAUUUAUUUAUUUAUUAUGUGAAUACACUGUAGCUGUGCAGAUGGUUGUGAGCCUUCAUGUGGUUGUUGGAAAUUGAAUUUUUAGGACCUCUGUUCGCUCCAGUCAGCCCUGCUCCCUCCGGUUAACUCCACUCGUUCAGUCCCUGCUUGCUCCAGCUGCAUAUACAUCUGCCUGCCUGAAGAGGGCAUCAGAUCCCCCUGUAGAUGGUUGUGAGCCACCGUGUGGUUGCUGGGAUUUGAACUCAGGACCUUUGGAAGAGCAGUCAGUGCUCUUACCCACUGAGCCAUCUCACAAGCCCACCUGGCAGAUCUUUUACAAUUUAGGUUUUGCUUUCCCUGCAUUUCUCUAUUUGUGUGUGUGUGUCCACUGUCUGAUAUUUUAUUAUUUAUUUUUUAAAAACUCUUAUUUUUGAAAAUCUCACACAUGUAUGCAAAGUACCUUGAUCUUACUUACCCCCAACUCUCUCCCCAGAAUAUUUUAUUUUUUUAAUCUCUUUCCCAAGGCUAACCCUUCUGUUCACUUUCCUCAGAAGAGCACUUAAGCUACAUAUUUCCCUCUAACUCGUGAUUUGAUGAGCCUUAGAGGUUUUCUCCUGUGUGUGCCAUUUCAUUUUACAGAGGGUUUUGUUGGAGUUUGUUGCUGUUGUUGUUUCUAGACAUGGAGACAUGUGCCUCUUUCUUUUUCUAUUAUUGGUCUUGCAUUUUAUUGCUUAUAGUCAGAGAAUACAUAGUUUGCUUCUUUGGGAUUUAUCAUGGCUUCCUCUCUGUUCUGUUAUGCAGUGAUGUGUAUAAAGAGAAAGAAGUACAUUUUCUUUUAAAGAUGAUGGAUGCAUAAUAGGUAAAUUGAAGUCAUGGUGGUGGCAUGCACCUGUAAUUCAGUACAAGCUGCAGAGGCAGGAGGAUUACCACCAUGCUCUACACAGUGAGUUCCUGGCCAGCCAUGGCUAUGUAGAGUCUGUCUUAAAAACCAGUCAACAGACAAAAGUGCUAUGCCCAUAGGUUCAAGUUCUUAAUAUUGUUAUUUAAGUCUUCCUUAUAUUGGUUUUUUUCGUUUGUUUGUUUGUUUGUUUGUUUUUGUUUUGUUUUGUUUUGUCUGAACGAAAGUUGGCCUUUGGGACUUAAAAUGUCAUAAUCCUAGAGUUUAGUGUCAGAGAAAACACUGGCUGAUCAGUGGAGGAGGGACCGGAAUUGUUUUCUGUUGACUUCUAUCCUCUUAAUUCAAUUGGAGUCUGCGACACUGAGAGCUCCCUGAAUGGAGGUGUGUAUUCUAUGGUUCUUGUUUUGGACAGAGGGGAUAUGAAGGAGAUGGACUGAAUGCCUCCAUGGGGUGUUCAAGUGGAUAUAAAAAAUAUGUUUGACGUGUGUGUGUGUGUGUGCGCGCGCGCGCGUGUGUGUGUGUGUGUGUGUGUGUGUGUGUGUGUGCGCACGCACGUGUCUCAGCACAUGUGUGGCAAUCAGGGGAUGGUUUGGGGGGCCUUCUCUCUGCCUUCCAUUUCACUUUAGGAAUGCAGCAGUGCAGAUGUGUCUUAUUUGGCUUUUUAUGGAGGUGCUGGGUAUCGAACUCUGGUCCUCAGACUUGCAGGACAAGCACUUUUAUUUUUAUUUGCCUUAUCCAUCUCACUGGCUCCACCAAGAAAGUGUCCAAAAGUUGCUUGGAUAUAAGACUUGUGGCUAACACAGUCUGGAGAGAGACGAUACUGCUUAGGUAUAUGUGAGUGUAUGUAUGCAUAUGUGUAGGGAAGUAUGCCUUUCUGGAGCUAAAACAGGAGGGCACCACAAAGCACUGCAUGGAGGCAUCAGCAGACAGCCGAGGAGAGGGAAGAGAACGCCUCUUGUCACCUCUGAAGCCUUGAAGUUGUGUGUAGGUGCAUUAACCUGCAUUGGCUAUUCAACAACACACCAUUCACAUGGUAUAACAAUAAAAAAAAAAGUGCUAACACUCCACAGCCAGGAAGAAGGAAAACAUCUGAAGAUGUGAAAGGGAGCAAAUGAGCAAGCCGAUGGACCGGCUUUGUGCCAAUUAUCUUCACUACGUUGUCUUUUAUGCGAAGAGACUCGCUCAGCGGCAGAGAGCCCUUCAAUUCCAGCAGAGAGGGCAGACUGUCAUCCGAGCUCGGCCCAUCCUGCUGUCUGCGCUCUCCAGAGAGCGUGCUUGAUCCUGAUAAACAGACUGCGAGCCAGGCAUGUGACUGAACGUGACUGAACUUCUUAAGGGAAAUAGAAGACAUAAAGGCGCCCCUCCCACACCCUCACAGCAGAAUUUGUCAGGCAGGGCCAUCCUCUCAAUGGGGAUGAUGCUUUUCCAAAAGCCUGCCUUUCAGACUGUCUGAAGUGAGAUAGAGGGUACUUACUGUUAUCGUUGUGUGGCACGAGGCCCUUCAGGUUGCCUUAGCUGAUGUCAUUCAUCUGCCAGGCCCCUCUCUUGGGAUUCAGUAUCAUCUAGAAGCUGUCUCCUGAAUGAUGUGCUACCCCGCUAGGAACUGCAGACAAAGAUACUGUCUGUGUUAGUUACUUCCUCAUAGCUCUGACCACACGUCAGACUAUCCCAGCAUCCUCAAGAUUUCAACAUGAGAAAGCAAGAAAGGUCUUGAAGUCUGGACCCUUCCAGUAACUACUAGAAGUCCUAUUGGAGGAUUUACUACCCCACCCAAAGGGCUACUCUGGGCUUCCGGCCACCGUUCAGUUUCUCAGUGCCGGUAGUCAAUAACAACUGGAUUCAAGAUCAAGCAUUCCAACACAAUUCAAUCCAACAAUAUGCUAAUUUGAUGCUCACAUAGUAAAGAAUGAUGAAACGAGAGAGCUGGCGAGAUGGCUCAGCCGGUUAGAGCACUGACUGCUCUUCCAAAGGUCCUGAGUUCAAAUCCCACCAACC